CAUAUAGGGUGGAGAGAUGCAGCAUGGGAGGAGCUGAUUGGCCAUGUGCUAGCCAAUCAGGACUCUCUCGCCGAGUGGACAGGGGCUGCAGCUGGCAACUAUUUCAUAAAAUUACAAGAACUCCAAGGAUGGGGAUUGGAAAUAACAAGACACUCACAGACACACAGCAGAAGCACAGGAGCAUGAAAGGUGAUGCAAGAACAGCAGAUGGUGGAGAGGGGAAUAUUCUAAUAGAACAACGUCAGAACUUGCAAGGGUUUUAUCACAAGGUGGCAGCAGUGUACACAUUCAAGCACAGUUUAAAUCAUAGAUACCAUCAUUAGUUACGUGUCAUCUUCAGCUGUGCCAAGUCGUAUUGCUUUGAUAGUUUGGAAGCUUUCAUGGGGCAGCAUCCAGCAUUCCAAGAAGAAUAUAUCGACUGGCUGACCUGCCAGCUUCAGAUACAGGGAAAAGGGGGUGGCGACAAGGAAAAAGUCUGAGCCAAUCACUGACAACUAUUCAGAUCAGCUUUGAAUCUAUUCCCAGUCAAUGCCCAGAAUAAAUCAGAAUCUACCACAUUGAAGAACUAUAUGCAUGGACAUUCAGACUCAACAGGAGGACUAGAAUAAGACUGAUUUUGCCAAGCCUUUUGAUAUUCAAGAGGCCUGAGAGGAACGGUAACCAUGAAGGUAUGAUAGACAGUUAGGAGGAUUCUAGUGUCAGCAACUUUUUCUAUACUGACCUUUAAGCCACUCUGCUGAUUGGAAAAAAAAACCUUAAGAAAUAAGGUAAUUAGAUAAAAUUCUGCUAGUUGUUUCUCCUCUCCUAGGAGCCCAGCGAUACCUGUUAAUGGUAGUCAACCAAGUUUACCCCACCAGGUCCUCACUGACAACCAACAGCAAGAACUGCAUGUAUUUUUUGUAAUUAAUUACAUCUUAUUUUACACAUGCUGUUUAUACAACCAUUUCAUGAUGGAUUUAAAAGAAAAAAAUGCAAAACAAUCAUGAAAACUGAUUAAUGCAGAGGCAGCGUUGUGUGUGAUGGGCUCAGGUGUGCUUCACGAAUAGGACCUACUGGGAGAGACUGCCACUGUCAAGCAGACACCUCCACCACGAAGGCUGCAAAGUUCAGAAUAGGCUCAUGAAUUAAAUUCUGGCAAACAUAACACACAUACCGAUGUGCUGGAAGACCGUUUUCGUCAAACCUUCAAGUGCAUUAGCUUGCAUAGUAUCUAUGAAGGGUCUCAGCAAAUUACGUUUCGUCACGUUUUACUCUGCUUCAUUCCGGGCUGGGUCCAGAACACAAUACCUAAGGGUGCAUCUCAAAUGAGUGAGGGGGCACGAUUCCCACCACCGUGUCACAGUCAUGGACUGACUGACU